rnacentral:piRNA from 1 species
UAAGACUUCAAUCAAGAACCAGAUAUAAGUA